AGCAAAAGCUCCAGAGGCAAAGAAAAUAAAAAUGGAUAGGUCGUACCUUGGUUUGUCUUCGGCGAAGAGUGGAUCUGUUAACAAUGGCGUAAAGAAAGAGAAAGUCACAGAGAAGAAAGAACGAAAGGCAGAGAAGACGGAGAAUAAGUCAAGUUUGAUAAAUCCUGAUGCUAACAUGAGCGACAGCGUCUAUGAUGACGUUACACUGGU